AAGUAUGAAUGGCUCUGCCGUAGUGACAGUGGGCUGAGUCAGAACAAAUUCCUUUUUUCUGCUGAAUGGGGAAGCAGAUUGGUGACCUGGUCACUUGAUGAAGACUGAACUUGUGGAUUAGAUGGCACUGGACCUUAUCUUCCCCCAAAGAGUUCAGAAAAGUGAGUUCAAGGAAACUACCUGGUAACCUAUGGGAUGAUGCUGUUAUGAUAAAGCAAUGCAGUGUAUCUGGAGUGAAACCAUCAGCCUUUAGGAAAUGCUAACUAGUACAGAAUGUUGCAGCACGUCUCCUAAGCAACACAGGCUACUGCCAGCACAUCAGUCCCAUCCUCUGCUCUCUAUACUGGCUUUCCACAGAGCGGAAGAUCUCGGUCCUUAUCUUCAAGAUGCUCAAUGGCCCGAAGCCAGCAUAUCAAAAAGACUGCCUGAGCUCCAGGGUGAAGACCAUGGUUGCACCUGUGCUGCUCAGGCAGGAUGGAAUUUCCUAUUUUGACCAUAAGGGCAAAAUUCAUCUGAGCAGAAGACGGAGCUCUCUCGGGGACCAGUCUGAAACUGCGGAAUGAACUUCCCUCACCAGAAACGAAGGACCAUCACGGACCUCGCCAUCUUCCACUCCAAGUGCAAGGCGCACUUCUUUAACCUGCUGUUGCUAUAUAAACACAGACCAGUGUAUACAUUUAAAAAACAAAUGCCUACACAGUUCUUCCUCUGGGGAGAAGAUGAGAGAAUGAACCACAGGUUGCAGGUGUUAAUCAUGUCACUUAAUGCUCUACUGGAAGGUGUUCAGAUAUUACAUCGAUGAAGCAGUGUAAGAUCCUAUGCAGAAGAGAACAGACAUAUUGUAACUAUUUGAGUGUCACAUUCUCCCAUCUGGUGUGAUCUUUUCUCUUUAUUUUUUAGUUGAGCAAUGCUAAUUUUAAUGCGAUAUUUGUGAAUGACACUGGUAAAUUAUUCAUGCCAAGAAACCAGUGAAAUAAGAACAGUGUACCUGGCAUACUACUGAAAACAAAUGUAAACUGUGAAUAGUGUGAUAGGAAUGUAAUGUGUCAAAUCUAUGCUUCAGAUGCUAAAGAAAAGCAAAGUUAAAAAAGAGACAACCCCAACAUUACAAUAAUAGAAUCCAUGCAUAAAAUAUUUCAACGUUUUGUAUUUACUUUUUUUUUAACCAGCAGUAAUAUUAAAAAUGCUCUGCUCCCAAAAAGAGUGAAAACAAAAAUAGACUUUUCAUAUAGUUUUCACAGCAUCAGUUUGUAAACCUUCAGGCAGUACAUACAGUAGAGCAUUAAAAUACAGACAUUGGCACUGUCUAAAAGCAGAUGUGUAAUUAUAAAUAUCUAACACAGUAUUUCAGUGGAUUAUUGUACCUGAUAAAGAAAUUCCAUGAUGCCCUACAUUUUGAGCAAAUGGUAGAACCUUCCUGUGUAUCUCACAGAGAAAGCCUGUUUAUUAUUUCAAAAGCAUAUGGUGAAAUCUUGCAGACUGUUUACUAAAAGUACACUGGUAUGCAGCCACUUCCCAGGGUGACUUUGCUGUGUCAGGUAGUGUUAAAAAUUCCAUUGCAUGGCGCACUAAAUAUACUGCUCACAAAGACAAGAAGGGAUAAUGAGCUAUGCGGCUUGUAUAGAAGUUGGCAGGUUCUCAUCCUAGGAAAUCCCUAA